rnacentral:rRNA from 1 species
UACGAAGGGGGGCUAGCGUUGCUCGGAAUCACUGGGCGUAAAGGGUGCGUAGGCGGGUCUUUUAAGUCAGGGGUGAAAUCCUGGAGCUCAACUCCAGAACUGCCUUUGAUACUGAAGAUCUUGAGUUCGGGAGAGGUGAGUGGAACUGCGAGUGUAGAGGUGAAAUUCGUAGAUAUUCGCAAGAACGCCAGUGGCGAAGGCGGCUCACUGGCCCGUAACUGACGCUGAGGCACGAAAGCGUGGGGAGCAAACAGGG